rnacentral:rRNA from 1 species
GAUGAACGCUGGCGGCGUGCCUAAUACAUGCAAGUCGAACGCUUCACUUCGGUGAAGAGUGGCGAACGGGUGAGUAAUACAUAAGUAACCUGGCAUCUACAGGGGGAUAACUGAUGGAAACGUCAGCUAAGACCGCAUAGGUGUAGAGAUCGCAUGAACUCUAUAUGAAAAAUGCUACGGGACUGGUAGAUGAUGGACUUAUGGCGCAUUAGCUUGUUGGUAGGGUAACGGCCUACCAAGGCGACGAUGCGUAGCCGACCUGAGAGGGUGACCGGCCACACUGGGACUGAGACACGGCCCAGACUCCUACGGGAGGCAGCAGUAGGGAAUUUUCGGCAAUGGGGGAAACCCUGACCGAGCAACGCCGCGUGAAGGAAGAAGUAAUUCGUUAUGUAAACUUCUGUCAUAGAGGAAGAACGGUGGAUAUAGGGAAUGAUAUCCAAGUGACGGUACUCUAUAAGAAAGCCACGGCUAACUACGUG